GAUAAACUACACAUUAUUGUUUGCUUCAGUUGUGAUCUUGAUUAUGGGCUAUUUGGUAUUUUGCCUACAAACUGUAUAGUUAAUUAUCUGUUAGCUUUUGUUUUCCUGUCACAGCUUUAUGUUUAUGUGGCUAAUUGUAGCCGAAAGUUUUAUUUAUCAAUCUUAUUUUUCACAGCACAAAUGAAACUGUGUUUCAAGAAUCAGGUGCUCCUACAUCAUUCAAGGAAAUUCGUCGUAGAGGUCUUUCUCUUUACCAGAUUUCGUAGCUGAAGUUUAUGAAGUAAUCAAACCGGUGUUAACUUCUUAUAUAAAGG